rnacentral:rRNA from 1 species
UACGUAGGGCGCAAGCGUUGUCCGGAAUUAUUGGGCGUAAAGAGCUCGUAGGCGGUCUGUCACGUCUGCCGUGAAAACCCGAGGCUUAACCUCGUGGCUUGCGGUGGAUACGGGCAGACUAGAGGUAGGUAGGGGAGAACGGAAUUCCCGGUGUAGCGGUGAAAUGCGCAGAUAUCGGGAGGAACACCGGUGGCGAAGGCGGUUCUCUGGGCAUGUCCUGACGCUGAGGAGCGAAAGUGUGGGGAGCGAACAGG